rnacentral:rRNA from 1 species
UCUGGUUGAUCCUGCCAGUAGUCAUAUGCUUGUCUUAAAGAUUAAGCCAUGCAUGUCUAAGUAUAAAUAGUAUACAGUGAAACUGCGAAUGGCUUAUUAAAACAGUUAUAGUUUACUUGAUAAUCGAAUUUUAUAUGGAUAACCGUAAUAAUUUUAGAGCUAAUACAUGCUGUUAAACCUGACUUUUUGGAAAGGUUGUAUUUAUUAGAUACUAAACCAGCAGCUUCGGCUUCUGUGAUGAUUCAUAAUAACUGAUCGGAGUAAAGCUAGCCUUUACUAAAUCAUUCAAGUUUCUGACCUAUCACUUUGUUGUUAGUGUGUUGGACUAACAAGAGGAUUACGGGUACGAGGAAUUAGGGUUUGAUAUCGAAGAGGGAGCCUGAGAAACGGCUACCACUUCUAAGGAAGGCAGCAGGCGCGUAAAUUACCCAAUUCCAAUUCGGAGAGGUAGUGACAAGAAAUAAUAACUCGGAUAGUUUACACUAUUACGAGAUUAAAAUGAGAACAAUUUAAAAAUCUUAUCGAGGAACAAUGAGAGGACAAGUCUGGUGCCAGCACCCGCGGUAAUUCCAGCUCUUAUAGUGUAUAUUAAAGUUGUUGCAGUUAAAAAGCUCGUAGCCUAAUAUCUAGUGCGGCGCGUGCUGGCUCACUGCCAGCGCGACGCGGUGCUAUCUGUUCGAGAACUUCUUCUAUCUUAACUGGUCGGAGAUGCUGAUCGGACUCUUUCCUGAGAAAAAAAUUAGAGUGUUUAAAGCAGGCUAAUGCAAUGAAUAUUACAGCUUGGAAUAAUAGAAUAAGACUGGAGUGUCUUUUGUUGGUUAUGAACUUUAGCAAUGGUUAAUAUAAACAGUCGGGGGUAUUAGUAUUUAAGUGUCAGAGGUGAAAUUCUAUGAUUACUUAAAGACUAACUUAUGCGAAAGCAUUUACCAAGGAUGUUUUCAUUGAUCAAGAACGAAAGUUAGGGGAUCAAAGACGAUCAGAUACCGUCCUAGUCUUAACUAUAAACGAUUCCGACCAAGGAUCGGGGAGGUCUGCUAAGCCUUCUCGGCACUUUAUGAGAAAUCAAAGUCUUUGGGUUCUGGGGGAAGUACGGACACAAGUCUGAAACUUAAAGGGAUUGACGGAAGGGCACACAAGAUGUGGAGACUGCGGCUUAAUUUGAUUCGACACGGGGAAACUUACUAGAGCAAGACUAAGGUUGGAUUGACAGAAUGAGAGCUCUUUCUUGAUUCUUAGGGUGGUGGUGCAUGGCCGUUCUUAGUUGGUGGAGUGAUUUGUCUGGUUAAUUCCGUUAACGAAC